UCCGCGAUAGCUCAAUGGAGGAGCAUUCGGCUGUUAACCGAUAGGCUGGGGUUCGAGUCCUCUUCGCGGAG
rnacentral:tRNA from 1 species